rnacentral:misc_RNA from 1 species
AACGCACCUUGCGCUCCCGGGUCAUUCCUGGGAGCAUGCUUGUCUGAGUGUCGCUUUACCUCUCAACCCCGCCUUGUUUUCGAACGAGGUAGCCGGGCUUUGGAUCAUGACGCCCUUGCCGCUCCUUACCGAGCCGACUGCGUUGAAAUUGAACAAGCUGAAUCCUCGUGUUAGCGGCUUGACCCGUUGUCGUAAUCUAAAAAAUUCAAUGGGGACGCUGACCGGAACGAGCUUACCAUAACUCAUACCUUAUAAAAUGACCUCAAAUCAAGUAGGACUACCCGCUGAACUUAA